ACCAGAAUGGCCGAGAGGUUAAGUCGUUGGACUUAAGAUCCAAUGGCCAAAUGUCCUCGUGGGUUCGAACCUCACUCCUGGUA
rnacentral:tRNA from 1 species